GUGAGGAAUAUUGGACAAUGGGCGCAAGCCUGAUCCAGCCAUGCCGCGUGCAGGAAGACGCAUCUAUGGUGUGUAAACUGCUUUUGUACGGGAAGAAACACUCCCUCGUGAGGGAGCUUGACGGUACCGUAAGAAUAAGGAUCGGCUAACUCCGUGCCAGCAGCCGCGGUAAUACGGAGGAUCCAAGCGUUAUCCGGAAUCAUUGGGUUUAAAGGGUCCGUAGGCGGUUUAAUAAGUCAGUGGUGAAAGCCCAUCGCUCAACGAUGGAACGGCCAUUGAUACUGUUAGACUUGAAUUACAAGGAAGUAACUAGAAUAUGUAGUGUAGCGGUGAAAUGCUUAGAGAUUACAUGGAAUACCAAUUGCGAAGGCAGGUUACUACUUGUGGAUUGGCGCUGAUGGACGAAAGCGUGGGGAGCAAACAGGAUUAGAAACCCUGGUAGUCC
rnacentral:rRNA from 1 species